rnacentral:rRNA from 1 species
UACGUAGGGGGCAAGCGUUGUCCGGAAUUAUUGGGCGUAAAGAGCGUGUAGGCGGUCCGGUAAGUCGGCUGUGAAAGUCCAGGGCUCAACCCUGGGAUGCCGGUCGAUACUGCCGGACUAGAGUUCGGAAGAGGCGAGUGGAAUUCCCGGUGUAGCGGUGAAAUGCGCAGAUAUCGGGAGGAACACCUCUGGCGAAGGCAGCUCGCUGGGACGUUACUGACGCUGAGACGCGAAAGCGUGGGGAGCAAACAGG